rnacentral:sRNA from 1 species
UUGACAGCACUGGAAACUGAAGUCCUACUUGUCCACAGAACAGGUACAGCAUACCCAAUAGCAGUUAAAAGUUUCCCCUGCACACUCUGUUGUUGUAUUUCAAUCCUGAUUUUGAGGGAUGACUUCUGGGGAGGGGGGAGAAUAGUUCAGGACUUGUAAAAUUUAUCCAAAA